rnacentral:rRNA from 1 species
GUAGGGAAUAUUGGACAAUGGGGGGAACCCUGAUCCAGCCAUGCCGCGUGGAGGAAGACUGCCCUCUGGGUUGUAAACUCCUUUUAUAUGGGAAGAACCGUCCUCAUUAAUGAGUGACCUGACGGUACCAUAGGAAUAAGCACCGGCUAACUCCGUGCCAGCAGCCGCGGUAAUACGGAGGGUGCAAGCGUUAUCCGGAUUCACUGGGUUUAACGGGUGCGUAGGCGGAUAAAUAAGUCAGUGGUGAAAUCAACGGGCUCAACCUGUUAACUGCCAUUGAUACUGUGUAUCUUGAAUAUGAGAGAGGUAGGCGGAAUGUUGCAUGUAGCGGUGAAAUGCUUAGAUAUGCUACGGAACACCGAUUGCGAAGGCAGCUUACUAUUUCGUAAUUGACGCUGAGGCACGAAAGCGUGGGUAGCGAACAGGAUUUGAUACCCUAGUAGUCC